AGGGAGAGCUCCUUUUGAUAUCAGUUGUGGUGGUGUGUGUCAUGUACUAUGCAGGAACAUCAGGGGAUAUCUUGGAGAUCUCUCAGUGUACCAGAUCUGACUUUUCAAAAGAGAUGUAAUUACAUAAAGAAGGUGUGCUGGCUGUGGUGUUUUCUGUGAAGAGGAAAAUGGACCAACUUCUCUUGUGGAUUUUCUUUUAGAUACCAAGGUUUCAGUCUUGCUGAGUUUUUGCAUUUUUGCGUUCUGGGAAGGAUGGGAGACUUUUCAAGAUUUUGUUGACAAGAAAUCUCUCAGGUGCCCAGGAUAACCACUGUAAAAUGGCA
rnacentral:lncRNA from 1 species